CCCUCAGAUGUUCUGGGCUGCACGCGCGCUACACUGAAAUGUCAUAGAAAGUUUACCUAUCCUUGACGGGAAGGGUAAUCUCGAAUACAUUUCGUGAUGGGGAUAGAUCAUUGAAAUUUUUGAUCUUCAACGAGGAAUUCCUAGUAAGCACAAGUCAUUAGCUUGUGCUGAUUACGUCACUGCUUUUUGUACACACCGCCCGUCGCUCCUACCGAUUGAGUGUUCCGGCGAACCAUUCGGACGAACGGUACAAGGCAACUUGUUACUGUUUGAAAGUCUUGCAAGCCAUAACACUUAGAGGAAGGAGAAGUCGUAACA
rnacentral:rRNA from 1 species